GCAUGGGAUAGCCUUUCUAAAUGGUUUAUUGGGCAAUUUUAUUUUACCAAGACUAUCGCAGCCAUGCAAAAAAAGCAACGGAUUUGCCGUUGCUUUUUUUUGCA
rnacentral:ncRNA from 17 species